rnacentral:rRNA from 1 species
AAAUUGAAGAGUUUGAUCAUGGCUCAGAUUGAACGCUGGCGGCAGGCCUAACACAUGCAAGUCGAACGGUAACAGGAAGCAGCUUGCUGCUUUGCUGACGAGUGGCGGACGGGUGAGUAAUGUCUGGGAAACUGCCUGAUGGAGGGGGAUAACUACUGGAAACGGUAGCUAAUACCGCAUAACGUCGCAAGACCAAAGAGGGGGACCUUCGGGCCUCUUGCCAUCGGAUGUGCCCAGAUGGGAUUAGCUUGUUGGUGGGGUAACGGCUCACCAAGGCGACGAUCCCUAGCUGGUCUGAGAGGAUGACCAGCCACACUGGAACUGAGACACGGUCCAGACUCCUACGGGAGGCAGCAGUGGGGAAUAUUGCACAAUGGGCGCAAGCCUGAUGCAGCCAUGCCGCGUGUAUGAAGAAGGCCUUCGGGUUGUAAAGUACUUUCAGCGGGGAGGAAGGGAGUAAAGUUAAUACCUUUGCUCAUUGACGUUACCCGCAGAAGAAGCACCGGCUAACUCCGUGCCAGCAGCCGCGGUAAUACGGAGGGUGCAAGCGUUAAUCGGAAUUACUGGGCGUAAAGCGCACGCAGGCGGUUUGUUAAG